CCUACGGGAGGCAGCAGUGAGGAAUAUUGGUCAAUGGUCGGGAGACUGAACCAGCCAAGCCGCGUGAGGGAGGAAGGUACAGAGUAUCGUAAACCUCUUUUGUCAGGGAACAAAGACUGGGACGCGUCCCCGGAUGAGUGUACCUGAAGAAAAAGCAUCGGCUAACUCCGUGCCAGCAGCCGCGGUAAUACGGAGGAUGCGAGCGUUAUCCGGAUUUAUUGGGUUUAAAGGGUGCGCAGGCGGUCUGUUAAGUCAGCGGUCAAAGCCCGGGGCUCAACCCCGGCCCGCCGUUGAAACUGGCAGUCUUGAGUUGGAGGGAGGCAUGCGGAAUGCGCGGUGUAGCGGUGAAAUGCAUAGAUAUCGCGCAGAACUCCGAUUGCGAAGGCAGCAUGCAGGCUCAACACUGACGCUGAGGCACGAAAGCGUGGGUAUCGAACAGGAUUAGAUACCCCUGUAGUC
rnacentral:rRNA from 1 species